rnacentral:rRNA from 1 species
UAGCCGUAAACGAUACUCGCUAGGUGUCGGCCACGGUGCGACCGUUGUCGGUGCCGUAGGGAAGCCGUGAAGCGAGCCACCUGGGAAGUACGGCCGCAAGGCUGAAACUUAAAGGAAUUGGCGGGGGAGCACCACAACGGGUGGAGCAUGCGGUUUAAUUGGAUUCAACGCCGGAAAUCUUACCGGGACCGACAGCAACAUGAAGGCCAGGCUGAAGACUUUGCCGGAUUAGCUGAGAGGAGGUGCAUGGCGUAGUCGUGU